rnacentral:tRNA from 1 species
GGAGAGGUUGCUCAGUGGUUAAGAGCACACUGGCUGUUUUGUAGAUGACCUGGGUUCAAUUCCCAGCAUCCACA